rnacentral:lncRNA from 1 species
CAAAAAGGUUACAACUCACUGAAGGCUCAGAGGAUGCAUGGCUGCCGACAGGUGGUAUAGGUCUGCACCAGGGAACUGAUCCUGGGCCACUGAAGCAGAGCACACCAAACUCAAACACCAGGCCACGGGACUGGCUGCAAUAAAGUAUUUUUAAAAUAAGAUUUAGGGACUGUUUGGUGCAAGCAAUGGAAGCAAGCUGUGGCUCUUAAGCCAAAGGGAGCAUUUUGGAGAGCUGCAGGCACAUGGUGAGUCCAUGGAAAGGCUGGUUAGUCUGGUGGGCAGGAGAGGGGAAGUCACUGCUUGGUGGGACAGUCAGGAUGGGGCACCUGGUGUGGUCAGUGGAACCCUGACUAAUUUGGUCUCUUUGAUCUUCCACUCAGAUUCACAAUGGUUCCACUCAGAGGUCAGAUUGGUUUCACGUGGGUCACCUAUCCACCAUGGCCAGUAGCAAGCACACUGG